UUAGUGUACUGGGCUGAGAACAUCUGUAGUCUCGAUUCUUACCAGUUUAAUAUUUGAUAUGUCCCUUAUCUGGGACAAUCUAUUAAACUGAUUUUUGAAGCAGAGAGAUGGACAAGGGACAUAGUCUGUAAACUCCAUGAAUCAACUUGGUAUUGCCGUAUCAGUACCUCUGGGAAUAGUGUACCCUGC